rnacentral:rRNA from 1 species
GACGAACGCUGGCGGCGUGCUUAACACAUGCAAGUCGAACGGCAAGGCCCUGCUUUUGUGGGGUGCUCGAGUGGCGAACGGGUGCGUAACACGUGAGUAACCUGCCCUUGACUUUGGGAUAACUUCAGGAAACUGGGGCUAAUACCGGAUAGGAGCUCCUGCUGCAUGGUGGGCGUUGGAAAGUUUCGGCGGUUGGGGAUGGACUCGCGGCUUAUCAGCUUGUUGGUGGGGUAGUGGCUUACCAAGGCUUUGACGGGUAGCCGGCCUGAGAGGGUGACCGGCCACAUUGGGACUGAGGUACGGCCCAGACUCCUACGGGAGGCAGCAGGGGGGAAUAUUGCACAAUGGGCGGAAGCCUGAUGCAGCAACGCCGCGUGCGGGAUGACGGCCUUCGGGUUGUAAACCGCUUUCGCCUGUGACGAAGCGUGAGUGACGGUAAUGAGUAAAGAAGCACCGGCUAACUACGUG